rnacentral:rRNA from 1 species
GACGAACGCUGGCGGCGUGCUUAACACAUGCAAGUCGAACGGAAAGGCCCUGCUUGCAGGGUGCUCGAGUGGCGAACGGGUGAGUAACACGUGGGUGAUCUGCCCCUUACUUUGGGAUAAGCCUGGGAAACUGGGUCUAAUACUGGAUAGGACCAUGCUGUAGGUGGUGUGGUGGAAAGAUUAGUUUCGGUAAGGGAUGAGCUCGCGGCCUAUCAGCUUGUUGGUGGGGUAAUGGCCUACCAAGGCGUCGACGGGUAGCCGGCCUGAGAGGGUGGACGGCGACGUUGGGACUGAGAUACGGCGCAGACUCCUACGGGAGGCAGCAGUGGGGGAUAUUGCACAAUGGGCGCAAGCCUGAUGCAGCGACGCCGCGUGGGGGAUGACGGCCUUCGGGUUGUAAACUCCUUUCAGCCAUGACGAAGCCCUUGUGGUGACGGUAGUGGUAGAAGAAGCACCGGCUAACUACGUG